rnacentral:rRNA from 1 species
UACGGAGGGUGCAAGCGUUAUCCGGAUUCACUGGGUUUAAAGGGUGCGUAGGCGGACAGGUAAGUCAGUGGUGAAAUCUCUGGGCUUAACCCAGAAACUGCCGUUGAUACUAUUUGUCUUGAAUAUCCUGGAGGUAGGCGGAAUAUGACAUGUAGCGGUGAAAUGCUUAGAUAUGACAUAGAACACCGAUAGCGAAGGCAGCUUACUACAGGAUGAUUGACGCUGAGGCACGAAAGCGUGGGGAGCAAACAGG